rnacentral:rRNA from 1 species
CAGCCGCCACGGUAAUACGUAGGUGGCAAGCGCUGUCCGGAAUUAUUGGGCGUAAAGGGCUCGCAGGCGGUUUCUUAAGUCUGAUGUGAAAGCCCCCGGCUCAACCGGGGAGGGUCAUUGGAAACUGGGAAACUUGAGUGCAGAAGAGGAGAGUGGAAUUCCACGUGUAGCGGUGAAAUGCGUAGAGAUGUGGAGGAACACCAGUGGCGAAGGCGACUCUCUGGUCUGUAACUGACGCUGAGGAGCGAAAGCGUGGGGAGCGAACAGGAUUAGAUACCCGCGUAGUCCCUGUCUCUUAUAC